UACAGAGGUCCCAAGCGUUGUUCGGAUUCAUUGGGCGUAAAGGGUGCGUAGGCGGCGCGGUAAGUCGGGUGUGAAAUCUCGGGGCUUAACUCCGAAACUGCAUUCGAUACUGCCGUGCUUGAGGACUGGAGAGGAGACUGGAAUUUACGGUGUAGCGGUGAAAUGCGUAGAUAUCGUAAGGAAGACCAGUGGCGAAGGCGGGUCUCUGGACAGUUCCUGACGCUGAGGCACGAAGGCCAGGGGAGCGAACAGG
rnacentral:rRNA from 1 species